UGAUCAUGUCAAAAGGAAUCUAUACUCUGAUACCAAUUAAAAAAAAGCUAGGGUAAUUCAUGCAUAGAUUUUAAAAUUUUUCAUGCAGUGGAAGCAAACUAGAUUAAACUAUUUAAUCUACCAUGCACUAGAUCUAAUCUAAAACUACAUAAGCCAGGAUCUUAUGAUAUAAAAUAUGCAUACAUAAUCUAAAAUUAAUAUCUAAAAUUUUAGAUCUAAUCUAAAAUAUGAUAGAGAUUGGAUCUCUAUACCUGAGCGCA
rnacentral:lncRNA from 1 species